UAUUUUGUUUUUAAAUUAUAUUUUUAAUAUGUAAAAAAAUGGAACGCCUAAAUUUCGUCGAAUUCUGUAUCGUGUUUGACCGAAUUUUGGCUAAGUAUGGUUAAAAAAAAGCGUCUGGGCGACCUUGGGGCGGCGACUGGAAAACCUACCACCCCACACCAAAUUUAUCGCCGGUUCACCCCAGACGGGGCUCUUUCAAAUCCUCGGGGCGAAGUGCUGGAGAUGCUCUAAUUUGUUUUCCUUCGUUUCGUUGGUUCAUCUCCGGCAUUUCAGUACUUCCACAUCGUCUCUCCUCACCCCCGCCUGCCACUGAAACUCACCCUUUUCCAGCUCAGGAAAAAAAAAACUCGCCCCUUUCCCUUCCUCUUCCUCGUCGGCCGGGGUCGGCGUCGCCUGCUGCCAUUCGCCGGAGACCCUCAUCGUCCUGGCCGCCUACAAGGCUCGCGUUGAGAUUGACAAGCUACCUUUUUUGGUCUAUUGCUUGUUCUUUGUUGUCUGGAAGUAGUAUAUCUCACUCCAUACUACUAUGAAUCUUGAUAAUAAGUGUCAGCAACAACAGCUAUCAGGCUCAAGUUCUGCAAGGCCGCGGACAUUUUGGACCAGCUAUCCAACUUGUGGCACCAAAUAUCAGUAUUACCAUUCAAUUUUGAAGAGAGCUGUCCACUGCCAGAAUUGCUCGAAGGCCUUUAUAGCACAUGCUUUAACUGAGCAACCUGUUCCUUUUGGUCCAGAUCAACAGUUUGCUGAGGUGUGGAUAAGUGCAGGAGUAUUUUCAGAAAUUAGAUUGCUUCAGAAGUUCGAACCUGGGCAGAUCUGGGCUCUCUACAGUGACAUAGAUAAGUUUCCCAAUUGCUAUGCCUUCAUAGAGAAAGUUGAUCUCGAGAAUAAUGAGGUACAUGCAAAAUGGCUUGAACUUUGUCCUGAUGGAGAGAUGGAGGAAAGAUUGGUAAUAGAUCGAACGGUUGGGUGUGGAACCUAUAGGGUUUCCACCACCCAUGGUAUUAUGAUUUACACCGACACGAAACCUUUUUCUCAUCCUGUACAUGCGAUAUUCACUGGUAGAAGGAACUCUUAUGAAAUAUAUCCUAGGAAAGGUGAAGUCUGGGCCCUUCUCAGGGGAUGGGAUAUUGGUUGGAGUCCAGAUGCUCACAACCAAAAGAACUACAAGUAUGAAGUUGUUCAGGUCCUCUCUGAUUUCACAACUGGCACUAGCAUCAUUGUGAUGCCACUUGUCAAGAUAAAAGUCUUUGUUAGCUUAUUUAUGCAGUCUGAAGUGGCUACUCCAUACCUGAUACCUCAGGAUGACACAAUAUGGUUUUCACAUUAUAUCCCCUACCGUUUGAUGGGUGCAACUGAAAGCAAAGGCAUUCAGGAAGGAGCUCUUGAACUUGAUCCUGCAGCGCUUCCCGUUAAUUUGGAACAGCCUCUCACAUGUCUCGUUUCAGAAAGCAUGUCAGUAAGAGGCUCGGAGUUUGAUGCCAAAUAUGCUGGUUCGUCUGGAGGAAAUAAAUCUCACAAGGAAUCCAAAGGGGCUGGGGAGAGACAGCAUGGUACAUGCAUGAAUGGAGGGAUCUUUGCAAAGGCACCAGUGGUAGAGAAUGGGGAGCAUUACACUCCCUCUGCUGUAGAAGGUACGGAUGUUGAUGAAGAAUCUGAUGAUGCUGGAGUAGAAGUAUUAUGUACUGAUUUUUUUAACUUCGACCAACUUCGAGAUGUAAGUCAGUUUAGACCCAACCAGAUCUGGGCUGUCUAUGAUACUCAAAGCUUUAUGCCAAGAUUUUAUGCUCGGAUUACAAAGGUACAAAUGACCCCAAAGUUUAAAGUACACUUUGUUUGGCUGGAAUUUGAUCCCACAAAUAAAGCAGAAGUGACAUGGUCACGUGGGGAACUGCCUAUUGCGUGUGGAUGUUUUAAUCAUGGAGCGUCAGACACAGCUAAAGAAACUAAUAUGUUCUCCCAGAUUAUUUCCUGUGUGAAAAGAAAAACAGGAAACUUGUAUGAGAUAUAUCCUAGGAAAGGUGAAGUUUGGGCCCUUUUCAAGGGAUGGGACAUUGGUUGGAGUUCGGAUGCUGACAAGCACACAGAUUUUGAGUAUGAAAUUGUUCAAGUUGUUUCUGAUUUCACGACAAGCACUAGCAUCAUUGUCAUGCUGCUUGUAAAAAUAGAAGGCUUUGUUAGCUUAUUUAAGCAAUCGAAAGAAGCAACUCCGUUAGUGAUACCUCAGGAUCACACGCUCAUGUUUUCACAUUGUGUCCCUCAUCAUUCAGUGAGGGGAACUGAAAGAGAAGGUAUUCCAGAAGGAGCUCUUGAACUUGAUCCUGCCGCGCUUCCCCCUAACAUGAAGAGGCUUUUGCUUCUGUUGUUCCAGAAAGCAGAUCAGUGGAAGGUCAGGACUUUGGCACCAAAUACAAUCAUUAUGCUGUAGAAGAUAGCAUUACACCGCUUGCAGACAAAUGUCUGCUGCAGGAGAUUCUAUCUGACUCGCCUGCCAUGGCAGUAAAUGAGCACCAGGAAGCUACAGUAUCAUUGGGUGCAACCACCAGAAAAAACAAUGAUAUGAAGUUUACCCACAUCACUUCUGCCAAUUGCGCUACCCUUCCUAUGAAACAUGGCUGUUCCUCUACUUCACAAAUCGUAUCCUCAAGGCGCAAAUUGUCUCAGAAUUCUUAUGUUGUUGAUUUGACUGAUAAUGCGACUAUGCAUGGACAUUUGAAGGAACAUACUUCUGCGAGACGUAAAAAGGCUAAAAUAGCAGACAAUGUUUCUUCACAGUUAAAACAUAAUGUCGAGUCAAGAGAUCUAACUGGAUACCAAGGUGAACAAUCUACACCUCCAUCAAGGAGAAGUACUAUUGAACAAGCAUGUGAAAAGAAUGAGGCUAUUCAAGAAAGAUGCGGAGGCCAGGAAUCUACUACUGUACCGGCCUUCUUGAAGCUGGCUCGAGAAAAGCUCAGUACUGCAGAGUACGGAGAGUUUGUUGGAUUUAUGAAGGCCUUAAAAUUGAAAACCAUGCACAUCAAAGACCCACUUGAGGCAAUAGCGAAACUGUUUUCUUCUCCAGGGCGACUCGCACUUCUUGAAGGGUUCGGGGUCUUUGUUUCUAAGAAUCAUCUUCCGUUAUAUGACCAGCUUGUUCGAAAAUAUACUCUGGCUAAUACAUAAUGACAUCAUCAGUUGCACUUACUUAAAGGCAUGAUUUGUCCGUACAAGUUCAGCUGUUAAGGAAGGUGGAUGGUUAAUUACAGGCAGUAUAUAGAAGAGAGGGAGCUGUGCAGAUGAUACUUAAGGAUGAGUGCCUAAAGUUCUCUCAUCAGAUUCCUUGCUUCCAUCUGACAAAUGGAAAGGGGGCUAGCUUCGAGGUUGUUUCGAGCUCGAUCCUUACUCAGUGCAUGAGAGGUUUCUCGCCACUGAUUCAAUGUGAGAUAACCCUGUUUAUGGUGAAUCUUUUGGAAGCCUCUUUUGGCGGUGGAACUACAAGUCUACAAGACGGAAGGUUCUGCAUAAGCUGAUGACACCGUAUUUCGAGCUGCCUGGAGUACUCAAUGUACCGGUGAUGUUAUUCUGCGUUCCUUUAGUCUCCUGCAGCUAGUGCCUCCUUUAGUCUCCUUUAGUCUGGUGUUUUUUUUUUUUCGUUUUGAGAAGCAGAGAAGGUGUAUGCUGUUGCGGAGCAGCAAACUGAAGUAAUGAGCCUGCAAAUGUUGAAUUCCCAGGGCUCUGCUUGCUUGUGCACUGCCUUCAUGGUGAUGGUAGAAAAACUUCCUUCUCCUAA